UAAUUUGGGCCUUAGAACUCAGUGAAGGA
rnacentral:piRNA from 1 species